rnacentral:rRNA from 1 species
UGCAGUCGAGCGCCCUCUUCGGAGGGAGCGGCGGACGGGUGAGUAACGCGUGGGAACGUGCCCUUUUCUCUGGAAUAGCCUCGGGAAACUGAGAUUAAUGCCGGAUACGCCCUUCGGGGGAAAGAUUUAUCGGAGAAGGAUCGGCCCGCGUUGGAUUAGAUAGUUGGUGGGGUAACGGCCUACCAAGUCUACGAUCCAUAGCUGGUUUGAGAGGAUGAUCAGCCACACUGGGACUGAGACACGGCCCAGACUCCUACGGGAGGCAGCAGUGGGGAAUCUUGGACAAUGGGGGCAACCCUGAUCCAGCCAUGCCGCGUGAACGAUGAAGGCCCUAGGGUUGUAAAGUUCUUUCAGCGGGGAAGAUAAUGACGGUACCCGCAGAAGAAGCCCCGGCUAACUCCGUGCCAGCAGCCGCGGUAAUACG